rnacentral:SRP_RNA from 1 species
AUAGCAACGACUAACCGGGGGUCCAGGGCGCCCUUACACCAGAAAUGCUCUAUAUGCUGGGGUGAAUGCUGUUGUUGAGGCUUUGCAAUGGUUGAUACGCUCUAUCUGGAAAGCGUCGAAGCAUCGACCCAUUGGAUUGCAUAUUUCGGAGGCGAUUUCGGAGGAAAUCGUUAGAAAGGAUAGGGUCAAAAUGAGUCAGGCACGGAAGUGAGCAGCUCUAAGGCCAAUAUGUGGUGCUUAUGGUAAUCGGUGUGGAGCAAAAAGGUAGGAAACGGCUUCUUGCGCAAUGUCGAACUUCAGGUCGCUAU